UAAAGAGUUCUAUAACUCCCAAACCCAUGUGAACAUACCUAACGUUGCCUCGGCAGGUCGCACCUACCUUGUAGCACCCUACCCUGUAGGGCCUACCCGGGAGGUGCGGGUAAGCCUGCCGGCGGCCCACCAAACUCUGUUUGAUAUUGAAUUCUGAACCUAUAACUAAAUAAGUUAAAACUUUCAACAACGGAUCUCUUGGUUCUGGCAUCGAUGAAGAACGCAGCGAAAUGCGAUAAGUAAUGUGAAUUGCAGAAUUCAGUGAAUCAUCGAAUCUUUGAACGCAUAUUGCGCCCAUUAGUAUUCUAGUGGGCAGGACCGUUCGAGCGUCAUUUCAACCCUUAAGCCUUCGUUGCUUAGUGUUGGGAGCCUACGGCAACGUAGCUCCUCAAAGUUAGUGGCGGAGUUGGUUCACACUCUAGACGUAGUAAUUUUUUAUCUCGCCUAUUAGUUGGACUAAUCCCCUGCCGUAAAACCCCCAAUUUAUCAAGGUUGACCUCGAAUCGGUUCAGACAAACUCGCUAAAUUGAAGCAUCUUAGUCAGCGAAGGAAAAGAAACCAACAGGGAUUGCCCUAGUAACGGCGAGUGAAGCGGCAACAGCUCAAAUUUGAAAUCUGGCCCUCGGGUCCGAGUUGUAAUUUGUAGAGGAUG
rnacentral:rRNA from 1 species